rnacentral:rRNA from 1 species
CUACACAUGCAGUCGACGGUAGCACAGAGAGCUUGCUCUCGGGUGACGAGUGGCGGACGGGUGAGUAAUGUCUGGGAACUGCCUGAUGGAGGGGGAUAACUACUGGAAACGGUAGCUAAUACCGCAUAACGUCGCAAGACCAAAGAGGGGGACCUUCGGGCCUCUUGCCAUCAGAUGUGCCCAGAUGGGAUUAGCUAGUAGGUGGGGUAACGGCUCACCUAGGCGACGAUCCCUAGCUGGUCUGAGAGGAUGACCAGCCACACUGGAACUGAGACACGGUCCAGACUCCUACGGGAGGCAGCAGUGGGGAAUAUUGCACAAUGGGCGCAAG